GUGGGGAAUAUUGGACAAUGGGCGAAAGCCUGAUCCAGCCAUGCCGCGUGUGUGAAGAAGGUCUUCGGAUUGUAAAGCACUUUAAGUUGGGAGGAAGGGCAGUAAGUUAAUACCUUGCUGUUUUGACGUUACCGACAGAAUAAGCACCGGCUAACUUCGUGCCAGCAGCCGCGGUAAUACGAAGGGUGCAAGCGUUAAUCGGAAUUACUGGGCGUAAAGCGCGCGUAGGUGGUUUUGUAAGUUGGAGGUGAAAGCCCAGGGCUCAACCUGGGAACUGCCUCCAAAACUGCAUGACUAGAGUACGGUAGAGGGUAGUGGAAUUUCCUGUGUAGCGGUGAAAUGCGUAGAUAUAGGAAGGAACACCAGUGGCGAAGGCGACUACCUGGACUGAUACUGACACUGAGGUGCGAAAGCGUGGGGAGCAAACAGGAUUAGAAACCCGUGUAGUCC
rnacentral:rRNA from 1 species